rnacentral:misc_RNA from 1 species
GAUGAAGAACGCAGCGAAAUGCGAUAAGUAAUGUGAAUUGCAGAAUUCAGUGAAUCAUCGAAUCUUUGAACGCACAUUGCGCCCCCUGGUAUUCCGGGGGGCAUGCCUGUCCGAGCGUCAUUACAACCCUCAAGCUCAGCUUGGUGUUGGGCCCCGCCGCCCCGGCGGGCCCUAAAGUCAGUGGCGGUGCCGUCCGGCUCCGAGCGUAGUAAUUCUUCUCGCUCUGGAGGUCCGGUCGUGUGCUCGCCAGCAACCCCCAAUUUUUUUCGGGUUGACCUCGGAUCAGGUAGGGAUACCCGCUGAACUUAAGCAUAUCAAUAAGCGGAGGA